rnacentral:rRNA from 1 species
AAGGCAUCUUUUUGUUUUUAAAAGACCUUCUUACGAAGGUAUGCUUAAAGAGGGGCUUGCGCCACAUUAGUUAGUUGGUAGAGUAAAAGCCUACCAAGACGAUGAUGUGUAGCUGGACUGAGAGGUUGAACAGCCACAUUGGGACUGAGACACGGCCCAAACUCCUACGGGAGGCAGCAGUAGGGAAUUUUCGGCAAUGGAGGAAACUCUGACCGAGCAACGCCGCGUGAACGAUGAAGUAUUUCGGUAUGUAAAGUUCUUUUAUUGAAGAAGAAAAAGUAGUGGAAAAACUAUAUUGACGUUAUUCAAUGAAUAAGCCCCGGCUAACUAUGUGCCAGCAGCCGCGGUAAGACAUAGGGGGCGAGCGUUAUCCGGAAUUAUUGGGCGUAAAGGGUGCGUAGGCUGUUAGAUAAGUCUAUAAUUUAAUUUCAGUGCUUAACGCUGUCUUGUUAUAGAAACUGUCUUGACUAGAGUGAGAUAGAGGCAAGCGGAAUUCCAUGUGUAGCGGUAAAAUGUGUAAAUAUAUGGAGGAACACCAGAAGCGUAGGCGGCUUGCUGGGUCUUUACUGACGCUGAGGCACGAAAGCGUGGGUAGCAAACAGGAUUAGAUACCCUGGUAGUCCACGCCGUAAACGAUGAGUACUAAGUGUCGGGGUAAAACUCGGUACUGAAGUUAACACAUUAAGUACUCCGCCUGAGUAGUACGUACGCAAGUAUGAAACUUAAAGGAAUUGACGGGACUCCGCACAAGCGGUGGAUCAUGUUGUUUAAUUCGAAGAUACACGAAAAAUCUUACCAGGUCUUGACAUACUCUGCAAAGCUAUAGAAAUAUAGUGGAGGUUAUCAGGGAUACAGGUGGUGCAUGGUUGUCGUCAGUUCGUGUCGUGAGAUGUUAGGUUAAGUCCUAAAACGAACGCAACCCUUGUCGUUAAUUGCCAGCACAUAAUGGUGGGGACUUUAACGAGACUGCCAAUUAAACAUUGGAGGAAGGUGAGGAUUACGUCAAAUCAUCAUGCCCCUUAUGAUCUGGGCUACAAACGUGAUACAAUGGCUGUGACAAAGAGUAGCUGAAACGCGAGUUUUUAGCCAAUCUCAAAAAAGCAGUCUCAGUUCGGAUUGAAGUCUGUAACUCGACUUCAUGAAGUUGGAAUCGCUAGUAAUCGCGAAUCAGCAUGUCGCGGUGAAUACGUUCUCGGGGUUUGUACACACCGCCCGUCAAACCACGAAAGUUAGCAAUGCCCGAAAGCAGUAGCUUAACUUCGCAAGAAGAGGGAACUGUCUAAGGUAGGGUUGAUGAUUGGGGUUAAGU